rnacentral:rRNA from 1 species
UACAGAGGUCAUCAGCGUUGUUCGGAUUCAUUGGGCGUAAAGGGUGCGUAGGUGGCGCCGUAAGUCGGGUGUGAAAUUUCGGAGCUUAACUCCGAAACUGCAUUCGAUACUGCGGUGCUUGAGGACUGGAGAGGAGACUGGAAUUCAUGGUGUAGCAGUGAAAUGCGUAGAGAUCAUGAGGAAGACCAGUGGCGAAGGCGGGUCUCUGGACAGUUCCUGACACUGAGGCACGAAGGCCAGGGGAGCAAACGGG